GUUCUGCAUGUCACAGAGGAAGUAGGCAUAUUUGAGGAAGACUUUCUCAAGGAUUUUUUUCAGAAGUUACACGGAAUAUGUCUGCCUCUCCUGUCUCACCUCCUUCACCUCUUCCACCUCUGCCACCCUGAGACAGCAAGAAAAACUCCACCCUUUUUUCCUCUUCCUGAGCCUAUCAACAUGAGGACAAUGGGAAUGAAGAUUUUAUGAUGAUCCACACCCACUAAGUGAAUAGGUCUCACCACUGCAGCCAUCAUCAAAAGUGGUUAUUACCAAGACUAGAUUGCAGCUCCGGACAGAGCAGCUGGCAGGGACUCAUAUUGUGAAUUGCAGCUCCAGCUCGACUGCAAGAACAAACCAGCAAUCCCGAGAGGACCCACAGACCCUCUAAAGGAAGUGGACUGCUCCUGCAGGACCUGGGAGACACCCCAAAUAUUAUCUAUAAACUCAAUUUUAGGAAGUCAAGUAUCUUCCCGAAAGUCACACAAGUAAAGAUGGACUUGGGUCUCUAAUCCAUUUGUUUGACUUCAAAACAUGUUAUCUCCAUUCCACUACCUCUUCUGUUCAGUGGAAUGAAAGAGGUUAAAACAGUUCACAGGGUCCAUGGAGUGAAUGAAAAAUGAAAAUGGGAAGAUAAAAUACAGAUUAUAGUUUUCAAGGAUUGGAGCUGGAAGGAGUUGCCUGUUUGAGAGCUGUGUUAAGGUCUGAGAAACAUGUGCAUGUUGUGCACUGCAAGAAAGGAAUCAAGAGGAAGGAGAGGAUGGAGAUAUAGAAGAUGAAAAUCAGCCAGAGUAACAAGGCUCCAGGAAAGCCACAUGGCUAUGUGCAUCCCUUAGAGAAACAAAUUGGAAAAAGGUGGGAAUGUGAAAUGGCGAAG
rnacentral:lncRNA from 10 species